rnacentral:rRNA from 1 species
GUAGUUGAUCAGUGGCUCAGGACGAACGCUGGCGGCGUGCUUAACACAUGCAAGUCGAACGGUGACGGAGAGCUUGCUCUCCUGAUCAGUGGCGAACGGGUGAGUAACACGUGGGCAACCUGCCCCAGACUUCGGGAUAACGCUUCGAAAGAGGUGCUAAUACCGAAUACGAACCUCCCUGGCAUCUGGGAGGUUGGAAAGUUUUUCGGUCUGGGAUGGGCCCGCGGCCUAUCAGCUUGUUGGUGAGGUAACGGCUCACCAAGGCGACGACGGGUAGCCGGCCUGAGAGGGCGACCGGCCACACUGGGACUGAGACACGGCCCAGACUCCUACGGGAGGCAGCAGUGGGGAAUAUUGCGCAAUGGGCGAAAGCCUGACGCAGCAACGCCGCGUGAGGGAUGACGGCCUUCGGGUUGUAAACCUCUUUCAGCAGGGAAGAAGCGAAAGUGACGGUACCUGCAGAAGAAGCACCGGCUAACUACGUG